UGAUCCCAUCCCGAACUCAGUAGUGAAACGAUGCAUCGCCGAUGGUAGUGUGGGGUUUCCCCAUGUGAGAGUAGGUCAUCGUCAAGC
rnacentral:rRNA from 1 species